rnacentral:rRNA from 1 species
CCUACGGGGUGCAGCAGUGGGGAAUAUUGCACAAUGGGGGAAACCCUGAUGCAGCGACGCCGCGUGAGUGAAGAAGUAUUUCGGUACGUAAAGCUCUAUCAGCAGGGAAGAAAAUGACGGUACCUGACUAAGAAGCCCCGGCUAACUACGUGCCAGCAGCCGCGGUAAUACGUAGGGGGCAAGCGUUAUCCGGAUUUACUGGGGGUAAAGGGAGCGUAGACGGCAGCGCAAGUCUGGAGUGAAAUCCCAUGGCUUAACCAUGGAACUGCUUUGGAAACUGUGCAGCUAGAGUGCAGGAGAGGUAAGCGGAAUUCCUAGUGUAGCGGUGAAAUGCGUAGAUAUUAGGAGGAACACCAGUGGCGAAGGCGGCUUACUGGACUGUAACUGACGUUGAGGCUCGAAAGCGUGGGGAGCAAACAGGAUUAGAUACCCCUGUAGUC